AGAGAUGGCAGAUAGACAGGGAUUCCAGGGGCCCUGGGAACCGUCUGUGCCUCCAAGCCCUCCGCAUGACCUCCCUCUCCUGCAACAUAGAUCUGUGACUCUGUCCCGUGUCACCAACACCCCUGUGCAGUGGGUGGCACCAAGGAUAUGUUUUGCACAUUUUGUGGAUUGCAGUAUUUCACAGCAGAAGAGUGAAGACCUCAGGCUCAGAUGGGACACAGCAAGAGAGGACUACAUAACUACUGUUUUCACCCCCAUUUCACGGAGAGGAACACUGAGGGUCAGAAGAAAAUGACCAGCUCAGGAACCUACAAAUCCAGACUGGAAUCCAGCCUCAGCAGCUCCCGGCUCUGGUCUCUUCCCGCUGCCUUACAUCAUGCCGAUUGCGUUGCAUUGCAAGAGGUUGGAAUAUAUGUGAUUCCACGUUAUGCAGGUGUCAUGCUGUGGAGCUUCAUCCCUGGCCCAGCCCUGGUCUUUUCUCAGCACCAGCCUCACAGAUCUUCCAGCAGGCCUUGGACCCUCCCAAGUGCUGGCUUGAGCCUCAGCAGAGAUAUCUGCCUGACCCCUGACUGAGAUUCCUGCCAGGACCCCCUGAGACAAGCUGCCCCAGAGUCCUCCGGUGUCAGUAAGGACUGAGGACUGUGUGAACUUCCAGCCACCCUAAAAGACCCUUCUUGCCCAUGACUCCCCUCAGAUCCAACCCAACUGCCAGGUCCCAUCCCAGACUGGAGCUCUAUAAGCCCCGGAUGCAGCCUUUCUGUGUUCUGAGCCUCACUGGGCCCUGCUCAUUGUCACCUAAGCUUGUUUGACUUGGGACACCCAGAGAGACAGGAUGCCUUGAUAGAAUGACUUCACAGACCUGGAUAGCAGGCAACAGGUCCCAAGGGACAGGUGUGUGUGUGCACCCAUCCCACGCUAUGCCCACCCUCCUGGGGCAUUGUCUGAGGGACAUUGUCCGGAGUGCUGGGCGGGUCCUUUAUGGUCAGGCAUAAAAGGUAAUCAUUGACCAUAUCAAUGCUGCCCUGCGCGUCAGUGCCCGCCCAGGCAUGGCCCUGCCAGGGCCUGGAUUACUUUACAGUCACAUAAAAGGAACCUCCAGACUGGGCCCUGAGGACUUUGGCCCCAAGGGGGGAGCAGGAGGAGAGCGGCUCCCUAGAGACAGCCUUUUCUUGCAAUAUUUACUUGGCCAGAGAAGAGCUCUCUCCUUCUCUAUUAAACACUAGGAUUGUCUCAGCCCAGCCUACUAACCUGAAGAGUCCCUGUCACCAGGGGCCGUUUCCUCUUCUCCCUUCCCAGGACGCCCCAGCAUGCCCCUCCGGAGCUGGAAUUCAGGGCACAUCUGGGAAGCAGUCUCUUCAUAAGCUCUUUUUUAUAAGCUUUGCCUCAAUGAGCCCUGCCUAAGGUGAAACGGGUGCCAGGAUAAUCCCCAUGUCCUACACAGGAAAGUCUGGACUCAGAAAGCAAAAGACUUGCCCAAGUCACACAGCCAGGAAGUGGCCAGUCUCAUCAGCUCCUGGUGGUCACUCACCAGCGUGGCCCCAAGUCUUGUUUUUGUGUACAGCCAUCAGUGAGGAACAGCAGCCAGCGUACACCUCCCGUGUAUGUACAGUACUCCUGUGUCAUUUAUGGGAAGACUGGAGAUCUGUAUAUUCAACAUUAGCAAAUAUCUGCAUACCAGGGAAAGCUAUUCCCAUCCCAUCAUUCAAACCAGACCAGAUCAGCUCACACACUCCCCAGGUCUCUGUUCUAACAGGGCAGAGAGCCAAGCCAGGGACUGUGCUCAGCUUUGCAGGGAGGAUGGGGAGACCACAAAAGGACACUGCAGCGGAAGAAACGACUUUAGCAAAACCCUCAGAAAAUGGGAAUGAAUGUUUUCCUCGGACAAAAGCCCUGGGAACAUGAAUGGGUGUAGCUAGAGGAGGAGGGAAGGCAGCCAGCCCGAGACCUUAGCAUACCGUAGGGAGCCGCAGAGGGUUCGUGAGCAGGAGCAUAACUACCCGAGCCGCACUUUACAAACCCCACUCUCAGGCCACAGGGAGGAGCACAGGUUGCGAUCUUAGACUGAUAGCUCCAGAGUUAAGGAAUUCAGCCCUUUCGGGAGGUACUAGAGGAAGGCCAGUUAAGAGUUGGCACACUUCUGUCUGUGUCCCCUCUCUGCCUUUUAUCGGCUGCACAGCCUUGGGUGGGUUUGGGGACCACGAUGGCCUCUGUAUUCUCAUCUUUAAGUAGACAGCACAUACAUCGUAGUGACUAUGGCUCUGAGCAGAGGGGAAAAUCAACUGACCUGUGUGAUUCAGUGCCUGGCACAUAGCACACACUUGUCAAAUGGCAGAGUCUCUUGUUAUCAAAAUGUACCACUCCCUCAGCCAGGUGUGGCAGCACACGCCUGUAAUUCUAAUAACCAAAGGCUGAGGCAGGAGGAUCACAGGUUCAAACCCAGCUCGAGCAACUUAACAAGACUGCAUCUCAAAAUAAAACAAAAAGGUCUGAGGGUAGAGUUUAGCACUCCCUGAGUUCAACCCCUAGCGCUUCAAUAAGUAAAUAAAAAAUAUUUUUUAAAUGUA